AAAAUCCUGAAAUGUGCGUGGUGCCUUUAUUUUGAACCUGCUAUGUUUGAUACGGGAGCCCGGAGUUUGUAUACGUAGCACAGGCCGCAAUCUAAUACCAUCGCAGCUCGCUGCGACUGGCGGCGGAAGUGUGAAAUAUACAACAGGGCACCCACCUGGUGGAGCGCCAGGUGUCAAAAUGGGCAAACGGCAUUUUGGGAGGAAG
rnacentral:other from 1 species